rnacentral:lncRNA from 1 species
CAAAAAGCAGCAGGGACCUAAGAUUGGACAAUAAAAGGUAGCAACUUGGUAUAUUUGGCGUAUGACAGCUCACCCUCAUCCAACAAGAAGGCAUUUCAAACUUCAUCCACUUCAUAAAUGCAGCUUAAUUUAGACCAUUGAAAGGGUUUCUUUAGUAGAUACACUUCGGGAGGCAUCACUUUCGUACAAUCAUGUGACAAAGGUGAUUCGCAGUUCAUAUAUAGAUUGAGAAAAGAGCUGUAGCCU